CAGAUUUUGUUCCCCCUGUCCUCAAACACUUAUAGAGAUCUGAGAACAUGGCAUUUAAUAUAAAAGCUUUUUAUGAUAAAGAGACAUGUCAGCUCCUGGCAGCAUCCUGUGUCUCCUCCAAGAAGAUAGAUGGCCGCAGAAGAACGUCCACCUGGAAGCUCAUGGCAAGGCUGGCCAUGCAGCAAAAAGCUGAGAUCCUGUCCAGACAGUGAAUAAGAGGAGCAAUGGAGGACCGAUUGCUCCAUACUGCAAAGUCAAGGCCCCUGAACACCACUGCUGCAACCUGCCUCCUCAGCUCCCUCAAGGGAUGUUCCUGAGAUCUUCUGCCAUGCGUGACUCCCGGUUCCCUCCUCCCCACUUCGCCCCUUGUCAGAUUAAAGUAGCCUCAAGAA